rnacentral:rRNA from 1 species
GAUGAACGCUGGCGGCGUGCCUAAUACAUGCAAGUCGAGCGAACGGACGAGAAGCUUGCUUCUCUGAUGUUAGCGGCGGACGGGCGAGUAACACGUGGAUAACCUACCUAUAAGACUGGGAUAACUUCGGGAAACCGUAGCUAAUACUGGAUAAUAUUUUGAACCGCAUGGUUCAAAAGUGAAAGACGGUCUUGCUGUCACUUAUAGAUGGAUCCGCGCUGCAUUAGCUAGUUGGUAAGGUAACGGCUUACCAAGGCAACGAUGCAUAGCCGACCUGAGAGGGUGAUCGGCCACACUGGAACUGAGACACGGUCCAGACUCCUACGGGAGGCAGCAGUAGGGAAUCUUCCGCAAUGGGCGAAAGCCUGACGGAGCAACGCCGCGUGAGUGAUGAAGGUCUUCGGAUCGUAAAACUCUGUUAUUAGGGAAGAACAUAUGUGUAAGUAACUGUGCACAUCUUGACGGUACCUAAUCAGAAAGCCACGGCUAACUACGUG